rnacentral:tRNA from 1 species
GCCUGGGUGGUGGAAUAGGCAGACACAAGAGACUUAAAAUCUCUUGCCCCCAGUGGGCGUGCGGGUUCGAUUCCCGCCCCAGGCACCA